rnacentral:rRNA from 1 species
AGGACGAACGCUGGCGGCGUGCCUAAAACAUGCAAGUCGAACGGCUUCCAGCAAUGGAGGCAGUGGCGAACGGCGGAGUAAUACGUGAACAACGUGCCCUAAAGACUGGGAUAGUCACUGGAAACGGUGGGUAAUACCGGAUGUGGCGUUUCCAUCACAUGUUGGAGACGUUAAAUGGUUUUUCGCUUUAGGAGCGGUUCACGGCCUAUCAGGUAGUUGGUGGGUAUGGCCUACCAAGCCGACGACGGGUAGCGGGCCUGAGAGGAUGGUCCGCUCGAGUGGGACUGAGACACGGCCCACACACCUACGGGUGGCAGCAGUUGGGAAUCUUGCACAAUGGGGGAACCCUGAUGCAGCGACGCGCGUGGAGGAUGGAGGGUCUAGGCGUACGUAAACGUCCUUUUAACGAGGAAACGUACGUUAGGACGGUACCUGGAGAAGUUAACGACCCGGACUAACGUACGGUACGCCUAACGCAACGCCCG